AAAGUCGUAACAAGGUCUCCGUUGGUGAACCAGCGGAGGGAUCAUUACAGAGUUGCAAAACUCCCAACCCCUUGCGAACGAACUGCAGCAGUUGCUUCGGCGGACUGCCCCUGUGGCGGCCCGCCGAAGGUAUACAAACUCUUGUUCAUUUUGGCAUCUCUGAGUGACUUUACAAUAAGUUAAAACUUUCAACAACGGAUCUCUUGGUUCUG
rnacentral:misc_RNA from 1 species